UCAUCUCAGGCCUCCACAAGUUUACCCAAUAUGCAAUAUUUACUCAAGCAUAUAACAGUGCGGGUGCAGGACCACAGAGUGCAGAGAUAUUAGUCUUCACAGAUGAAGAUGUUCCGGACUCACCUCCAAGAGAUGUUCAUUGCACCAGUGUAUCUUCACAAAGUAUCCUCUUGACCUGGCUGGAAAUUGCUGUUAAUAAUGUCAAUGGUGUCCUGCUGGGGUACAAGGUCACAUACAGGACAGUUUCUGAGUGGGAUGAAAUUAAACAACAAUAUUUUAAUGUCCAGAGGCUUCAUCUCAGUCUGAAUCUUCCACUGAAGAAUGCAAAAUGGAGUUAGUUGG